UGGGGAAUAUUGGACAAUGGGCGCAAGCCUGAUCCAGCAAUGCCGCGUGUGUGAAGAAGGCCUGCGGGUUGUAAAGCACUUUCAGUGGGGAGGAAAGGUUGUAGUUUAAUACGCUACAACAUUGACGCUACCCAAAGAAGAAGCACCGGCUAACUCUGUGCCAGCAGCCGCGGUAAUACAGAGGGUGCGAGCGUUAAUCGGAAUUACUGGGCGUAAAGGGUGCGUAGGUGGCUUAUUAAGUCAGAUGUGAAAUCCCCGGGCUUAACCUGGGAAUUGCAUAUGAUACUGGUAAGCUAGAGUGUGGAAGAGGGAAGUGGAAUUUCCGGUGUAGCGGUGAAAUGCGUAGAUAUCGGAAGGAACAUCAGUGGCGAAGGCGACUUCCUGGUCCAUUACUGACACUGAGGCACGAAAGCGUGGGGAGCAAACAGGAUUAGAUACCCGGGUAGUCC
rnacentral:rRNA from 1 species